CCCAUGGUAAGCAGGGUGUGCUGGGAGGGUUUGACAGUCACCCUGGAAAGGGCAGCUUAGGGGAACCUUGGCUACAUGCCUGCAUCAGGGAGCAGGUUUGAGUUCCCUGAGUGGUCCAGACACAUGGACCCAGCACAGACUCCUCACUGCCCAGCGGACUGGGGACGUUCCUCGAGCCUCAGGAUGUGUUCAGGGGGGUGUCUCCUGGAGCAGCAUGGGAAGCAGAGGCUGAGGGAUUAGUGUGGCUGGUGAGGGCUGGGUGAUGAGUGUCAGGCAGCGACAGGAAGAGAAGAAAAAAGCCAUGUGAUGGGCAUAUGGGAACAUGGGGACAGUGCUCACCUCACACCCACCCUUUGCUGAGGGGCUGUGUGGGACAGGGAAAGGCAUAGAGGAGCCAGCCCUGGGUCCUGCCAAGGGAUCCAGUGGAUAAGGGCAGCCUGCAGGGACACAGGGCAGUGACAUAAUAGGCAAAGGCUCCAAUCAGGGAAGCAGGAGGGUCAGCACUUACCCUCUCAAUCCAGGAGCCCCGCCCCCAGCUAGCAGUAGUCUUUCUUGGGUUCCUGAUGCUGCCAUGGGCUCCAGGCUCCUCUGCUGUGUGUCUCUGCUUUUAGCAAGCAAGUGAGUCCUAGACACAGUGUGGGAGCUUCUGAGAUAUUCCCAUGAGAGGAAUGUCUCAAGUAAAAAGAGAACAGUUUUCAUUUGCCCUGACAUCUGCACCUCCCUCCAUGUUCCUCCUACAUCUGAAUUCCUUUGUGCCAAUACAUCACCCUGUGCUGGGCACCCAGCUUCUCUCCACCAAGAGAGGUGGGUCACAGUCUUGAGGGGGCUCUGGUUGCUCUCUCCCCUGCACCAACAUGGAAAGCAGGGCCUCCUGGGAACAUGAAGAAUCUGUACCCACGUUUGGCUGGCGGAUCGACUGUCAGUGACUCGAUUAGAAAUAGACGAAACAGAUUUCUCAAAUGUUGAUGAGCCUGCAAUGAGUUUGGGAGCAGAGACUUGGAGAAACAUGGUAGGUGGAGGGACAAUCUCAGGACUGUGGUCAGUUAUGCAGAAAUGGAACCUUGAAGUCCUACUGGGACACAUGAGUUAAACAGGGCAACAGGAAGCCAGAAGGAUUUCCACAAGAUAUAAACUACAGAUACAUGCAAAUAAAUAGAAGUAAUACACGUAUCAAUGUGAAUUACCUCUGGACUAGAACACACACAAAAUUUAAUCAGUUUUACAGAAGAGUUGCAUCAACUUGUACAGCUUAUGUCCAUUGAUCUGGAUGGGGCUCCGGGUUGUGAACUUAUCUCUGAGGUUCAUUUCUGAUUUGAGCCUCUGGGGGAAGGGGCGUGGCCCCCUGAGUGACAGGUUGGCUUCGGGCCUGGCAGGGACAGUGACAUCUCAGAAAGACUCCCUAGAGAGCGCCUCUCCCCUCUCAUCCACACUCAGACCAGAGGGCCCUCCGCCUGCCCCACCCCCGCCAUGAGCCCCUGCCUCCUGGGCUGUGUGGUCUUCUGUCUCCUGCAGGCAGGGGCGGUCCAUGCUGGGGUCACUCAGGACCCCAGAUUCCAGGUCGUGAGGACAGGACAGAAGGCUACACUGGCAUGUACUCAGGAUCUGGGAUAUGACCGCAUGUACUGGUACCGACAAGACUUGGGACAUGGGCUGAGGCUGAUCCAUUACUCAUUUGCUGCUCCCGACACAGAGAAAGGAGACAUACCUGAGGGUUACAGGGCCUCCAGACCAAGCACAAAGGACUUCCCUCUCACUCUGGAGUCUGCCAACCGCUCCCAGACAUCUGUGUACUUCUGUGCCAGCAGUUACUCCACAGUGCUGCACGGCCACCUCCUUUCUGUUCAAAAAAGCAGAUGAGGGCCCCGCAGCCUCGAACUCAGGGAGCCCCUUGCAGGCUCCUAGC